AUAACCCAUGUGAGUUGUGAGUUUCCUGCACCUAUCUUAACAACAACUCUAACAGUACUGGUAAUGACUGACCAGUCAUACAGUAAAUGACCAAGAGCCUGAAGAGAAAUGUGGUAAAAAGUAGGCUUCUCCUAAACGCGAGGAUGAACCCGGGUCGCCAUCAUCGCCACCAUCACCAUACUUGCAUUUUCAAUUGAGUCAGUGGACGGUGACCUACCAGCACCAGUGUUCCAAGUGAUUAUCAAUGAGCCUACCACAGCCAGACCACCUUUAAACACACCAAGAGGAAGCUACCAUGUCCUAUCCUAUACUAUAAUAUUUUCACAUAUUGAAAUAAAAAGCCUUUUUUCUA